rnacentral:rRNA from 1 species
GAACAAUGUCACCGAGCUGUUGCUGGCCCUCGAAAGGGGGCACGUGCACGCUCUGUUUACACAUCCACUCACACCUGUGCACCCUCUGUAGUUCUAUGGCAUUGGGGACCCCGUCCCCUUGCCGUGGUCCUACGUCUUUACACACACACCGUAACAAAGUCUCAUGGAAUGUAUGCCGCGUUUAACGCAAUACAAUACAACUUUCAGCAACGGAUCUCUUGGCUCUCGCAUCGAUGAAGAACGCAGCGAAAUGCGAUAAGUAAUGUGAAUUGCAGAAUUCAGUGAAUCAUCGAAUCUUUGAACGCACCUUGCGCCCUUUGGCUAUUCUGAAGGGCAUGCCUGUUUGAGUAUCAUGAACACCUCAACUCUCAUGGUCCGCCAUGAUGAGCUUGGACUAUGGGGGUCUUGCCGGCCUAGCGUCGGCUCCUCUCAAAUGGAUCAGCUUCCCAGUGUUUGGUGGCGUCACAGGUGUGAUAACUAUCUACGCUUGUGGUUUUCCACCAUUAACCUUCAGCAAUGGAGGUUCGCUGGAGCUUACAGAUGUCUUUCCUUGGGGAGGACAGCUUCUUGAAUGUCUGAUCUCAAAUCAGGUAGGACUACCCGCUGAACUUAAGCAUAUCAA